UUGAUUAGUUUGGCUCAAAACCGAAGCAAACUUAAAAAUUUAAAAAAUAAAUAUAAAAAUCAAACAAAUCGUAACUAAUAAGAGCACUGAAAUGAAUCCAACCGAAUAGUUUUGUUGGUUCAAUAUAAUUCAGUUUUGAGCUCCUCAAUAAUUUCCUCUAUCUACUUUGUUCUUCAGUUUAAUAACAGAGUAACAUCAAAUUGGUGUUCAAUGAAAUGCACAACAACUUUCAUUUAGAACAAGGAAAAUAAAUACCCAAAAAUUCUCAAACUAUUUACAUCAACUUAAAACUUAAUGCAAAACAUCAAUACAUCAACAAAAUAAAUACCUAGUAAUCCUCAAACUUAACCUAUAAUAUCAAUGCAUUAAAUAACAAGAAAAAGCAACAGAACCACAAGCUAAACCUCUUGGGCUAGUGGCAAUUAAAUUCUCUAGAGGUGAAUUCGGAAAUUUUGGAACUGGAGCACAAUCUGCUGAACCAACAAGCUUUCCCUCAUAAACGAGCAGCAGCGAGGAUUGAAGGCUAAGUGAGGGAAAGAAAGGAGAAGAAAUACAAAGGCUUGAAGGAAUGGAGAUGGCAGUGGGAAGGAAGGGAGAAGUUUGUAGGCUCACUGUAUUUGAUGAGGAGAAUCAACAGGAGAUUCAAGUAAAGGGAGAGAAAGAAACUAAGAGUAGAGAGCUGAGACAGGUAGAUAGGCUAAAAGUAGAAAGCAGUGACAAACUAAGAGGCUGAGAGAAAAAGAAGAAAUUGGAGGCCGGGGUUUUGAUAAACUUAUGUAUAUUGUGAUAUGGAUGGCUAAGAUCAUGUAAGUUGGACGGCUACAAUCAAACCAAGUUGAACGUUAAAAGGUAGAAAAAAAGAUCCAGUGUAGAUGUUGAACACAUGAUGUGCAUGCUAUUACUGCCUUUCUACCAUUAAGCUUUAGAUGCCUUAGAUGCUAUACAUUUUUUUCUUGGUAACAAGAAGCUAUACAUGUUUUUGAAUUUUAUUCUCAUUGUUUUUUUGAAUUUUUUUAAUCAAAACUGAACAGAAAUAACUGAUUUAUUUUAAAAUUUCAAAACAAACUGAAACAAAUUUCCUACUAAACCAAAAUUGAAAUUUUGAAUUAGAUUAGUUCUUCUUUUUUCCCCCUAAUUUGAAUAGAAUAAUACUCAUCCCUGCAUCUGAAUUCUCAACCUUUUAUUCUUGAAAAACUUAACUAAAUACAUACAUUCUGUUGGAAAGAAAUUUUUAAAGAUAACAUGUGAACUUGUAGAGUAAUGGGAAUAUAAAUGACUUAUUUAAUAGCACAAUUAUUUCAGGAAGUUAAAGUUUUUGAGGAUUUUGGAGGUUCCCAAAAUCUCCAAAUUAAUGUCCAAAAUUAAUUUUACUUUAAUCUGUUUGAGUUACAUGAAAAUUAAGUUAAUAAAAAAUUAAUUCCUUUAAUAGAAUUAAUUUCUUAAAUUCACUUGGUUGUCCCUUGAAUUAAGUCAAAUUAAAACUGUUGAAGGAAAUAGAGGAGGAAGAAUGAAACACAUAAUUCAAUUUAAAGAGGUUUGAUUAUCCUAAGCUUAUGUCUUGUGCUCUGGGCUUUCUUUGAGAGUUAACUCCACUAUCUGUGUUCUUUGGAUAAAGAUUAAGCUCUUUACAAUCCUUGAGAACUAACUUUUACCAUCUUACUAUUAUUUUCAUGCAAAGAGCACUUACACUCUAGAAGUUACUCAACAAUAAAUUCACUCAAUACAAAUAAAUUCACUUAACAACCUUACUUUAUUUAUUUUUUUUUUCUUUUUUCUGAACAAUACAAUAAUUACAACUCAAGUAGAAUCCAAAGAUUGAAAUUCUGUGGAAAGGUGAAAGAAAAUGCUUUUGGCAAAGUAGAUUCACAACAAUUUUUUGUUGAAUUUCAACUAGAUUAUAAACACAUUUUUGUAUAAUUUUAGCUUAAAGUUGAUUGUCAGAAUGCAUUUAAUGCAAUUAGUGACUUUCAACCACUUAAAUCACCGCUGUAAUGUCUCCUGAAAAUCUCGAUCUGGCAGAAGAAACUCCAAAGUUCUGCAGCUGAACUCCUUGGAGCCAAAGAAAACCCCUUUUUGCAAACUGACAUCAGCUGAACAUUCAGUUUUGGCAGUUGAAGUUUAGUGAGUUUCGCCAUGCCAUUUCGGAUUCCAAUAAGUGUGGGCCAAUUUGAACCAUUUUAAUUCAAAAUAUUUCUUUAUGAUAGUUCAAUAGUUUAGUAAUCCAAAAUAAUCCAAACCACCUAAUAAGUUUUCUCCCUCUAAUACCCAUUCUUUAUACAUGAACCUAGUAGUAAAUAUGUUAAAAUACAUGUAGCACGAGCCAUUUAUAUAUUAUAUAUAUAUAUAUUUUCGUGUGAAGUCAACAUACCGACUUUGUGCGUUGAAGCUUACUAUUUUCUCUAAUUAUAUCAAACUAUAUUAUUAUAUUUCUUGUUACUGAUUUUAUUGUUCAUGUGCUCUGUGAAGCAACUUCUAGCACAUUCGGCUUAUCCAACAAAAUUAAAAGUGAGUCGUCUCUUUGUCUCCAUUUUAUUGAUGCUAAUAUUUCUUUCCAGUCAAGAAUAUAUAGUGACCUUUUUAAUUAUGUUUGCAUCUACUGCAGGGUCAUUGCCAGCUGUACUUGCUUACGUUGGUAAGUUCUUACCCUUUUUUCUUUAAGCAUUUCUUCGAAGGGCAUUAGCUAUUAGACUAAAUCUAGAUGCAUAGAUAAAUUCAUAAGGACUACAUAUAAUCAAAAAGACCAUUUAUAAUUGCUCUAUGGAUGAUUCUUUCAUAUAUCAACUAAUAUUCCAUCCUUUGAAUGUAUGUUGCCCACACAGGGUUGUCGUUUGCAACAAAAACUUUAUGUGGGACUCCAUUUGUAAUUGCGUUUUUGGUCUAUAAAUGGCGAAAGAGACAUAUAUCAGGAUAUUACACAAUUGAAGAAUUUCUACAAAGUCAAAAUAAUAUGGCACCUAUAAGAUAUUCAUACUUGAGUAUUAGGAGAAUAACUGGAGGCUUUAAGGAAAAGUUGGGUGAAGGAGGCUUUGGUUGUGUGUAUAAAGGGAAACUGCGCAGUGGUCGUAUUGCAGCAGUAAAGAUGUUGGUUAAAUCUAAAACUGAUGGACAGUAUUUUAUUAAUGAAGUUGCUACACUUGGAAGGAUUCACCAUACCAAUGUAGUCCAACUAAUUGGUUUUUGUGCCGAGGGAUCAAAGUAUGCUCUUGUCUAUGAUUUCAUGCAUAAUGGAUCUCUUGAUAAGUAUCUAUCUUCUCGGGAAGGAUCUAUCUCCUUAAGUUGGGACAAAUUAUAUGAAAUCUCUCUUGGAGUAGCUCGUGGUAUUGCAUAUUUACACCAAGGCUGUGACAUGCAGAUCUUACAUUUUGAUAUCAAGCCACACAAUAUUCUUCUUGAUGAGAGUUUCACUCCAAAGAUUUCUGACUUUGGGCUUUCUAAACUAUAUGGGACAAAUGAAAGCAUUAAAACUCUCACUGCUGCAAGAGGAACAAUAGGAUACAUGGCACCCGAGUUAUUUUAUAGAAACAUUGGACGUGUUUCACAGAAAGCAGAUGUCUAUAGCUUUGGAAUGUUGUUACUAGAAAUGGCAGGUAAAAGGAAGAAUUUGAAUACACUGCUAGAAAACUCAAGCGAAACGUAUUUUCCACUUUGGGUUUAUGAUGAAGCCUCUAGUGGGAAUGUCGUAGAAAUCAAUGAUGCCAUAGAGGAGCCAAACAAAAUAGCUAAGAUGAUGGUUGUGGUAGGACUAUGGUGCAUACAAAUGAAACCGAGUGAUCGUCCUCCAAUGAACAAAGUCAUAGAAAUGCUUGAAGGAGAUCUUGAAAGUCUUCAGUUGCCUUCCAGGUUUGCUCUAUUUCCCGAAGAAACUAUAAUAAGAGAUGGAGAUGAGUCUUCAUCUAUGUCAACCGACUUCUCAGAAACACUUAGUUUGAUUGAAAAUGCAUCUUAAACUUAUUUGAGGGAGUUAUUUUGAUAAUAUACAUUGGAAAUUAACUUGUCAUCCAGACUUGGCAAAAUAGCUAAUGAAAAAUAAAUGUUGCAGCAAAAGUGCUUUUGUUAUAUAUAUGUGUGUGUAAAGAGAAUGAUCGUCUUUAUACAUUGUAUAUUCUGGGUAAUAGACCUGGUUAUUGUUCAUGAGAUCUGUAUUGAUCAAUGAUUUUACUAUUUUAGCUUCAGAUUUUUAAUGGCCAGCAUUUGUGUGCUGAAGCACCAGAAACAAUAUCAUCAAAAAGUGUUUGGUUAAUAUUUGUGCAAUUGAAAGAAAUUUGGUUGUGGGACCAUAACUGAGUUGUUCUCAUGUUUGUAGUGAUUGUAUUGACAGUACAGAACAAGAAAAAGAAGAAACUAAGUGGUUAGCAACAUGUUCAUACUCGUUUAAGGCCACUUGACAAUCCUUCUCUAUAUGCUUACUACAUCAUUGGUUAUUACAGAUGCUCUCUAUUCAAGAUUUACUAUGUUUCUGAAAGAUUUCUUGCAUGUUUCAUUCUUAUUGGUUAGUAAAAAGCUGAAAGGAUUUGCAGUUAUUGACAAAUUGUUUCCUUCCUCUUCCCGCAUUUGAACAACAAUGUUCAUGGAAGUAUUACACUGAAUUCACCAAGCUUCUUGAGAUUUUGGCAUGUUCCCCUGCAUCAAUCUUAAGCCCUCAGUUCCUUAUAAAAGAUCAUAAUUACAUUAAUUACAUCGGAAGUAUAUUUGAUCAUCAUUUUCUCGUUUCAAGUCAACAUUCUUCCUCCUUCUGCCAUUUGUAACUCAACAUUCCAAAACUAUAUGCAACCGACUUGUAGAAAACGUUCCCAAAGUUCCUUGAGAACAAUUUGUAGCCAAUGGUUGCUCCAGCACGCUCUGGUUGAGCAGUAUUUUACGUGGAUUUCAAUUCGGACUAGGAGCACUUUGGCAAGAAAACUCUGUUGCAUCAGACCAUUGGGUCCUGUGUAAACAGUAGAAGAUUGUGCAAUUCUCCAAUUGAUAAUGAUGAAACUGAAAGGGAGAAGCAGAUAAAUUCAAGUUUGGAAGCUGUUUUAGAAGACAACCUUGUAAAUCAUUUGCAGAAUCACUUGAGAUAAAGAAUCUCUCUUUUUGACCAAGAGUUUCACUGGAUUUGGUAACUCCAGCAGCGUCUCCUUCCUCUCCGAGCAUGAUAGAUCAAAUCAAACUUCAGGGAAACGAACGGCUGGACCGUGGCUCCCACAUUUGGAUUCCUUGCAUUCAUUCUCAGAAAAGCCUAAUAAUCCAUGAUCUACAAGGACAAGCAGCAGGAUCCAGAAGGAAAACAAUUAACAUUUCUGACUAAUAAAUUCAUCAUACCUCUAGUGCUUCGAGGACUUUAGCUCCGUGUUGGAAUUCUAAAGGUAAAAAAAUCUGCCAAAUUAUUAAGUGCACCCGUGUAUGUAUACUUUCACUCACAAGAGAUGAAUUUUACACUAUAAGAAAAGUAAAAAAGACACCAAUAAAAUUUACUGAUUAAAUUAUAAAAAAAAUAAAAAAAAUAAUUAUUAAAGUGAAUUAUCUAUUAUUUACUGAUAUUUAAAAUAUCGAUGAUUGAAUUAUCGAUAAAAUGUCAGCUAUGUUUUUAUUAUUUUGUAGCGCUACCAUCAAUAAUUUAAUGAAAAACUGAAUUUUGUUGAGUGAAAAUAUAUAGCGAUGUGGUACACCGAGUGUACUACAUAAUUUGUCAAAAAAUAUGAUGCUUCAAAAUGGCAACAGUAGGGACAGAGUAGUGUUUUUUAUUAGCUGGACAGAAUCAUUGGUCCAACCAUUUGGACCGGAUACAAGAUUAAAGGAAAGUUUGUUGAAUCCUAAGCAACAGAAGAAUAUUAGUUUUCUUUUAAUUUUUUUUUUUCAAUUUUAUCCCAGAAACUUCUUAAGAGAAAUCUUUUAACACAAAUUUUAAUCAAUAAUAAUAUUAACUUCAUCUUUAAACUAUUACUUACAAUUCUAAUUAAAUUUUAAAUAAAUUAAAUUUUCAUCUUAAUAUUUAUUUUAAUAUUUAUAUUAAUAUAUGUUAAUUAUACAUUUAUAUAGCCCUUAAUUUAAAUAUAUAAAAUUUCAUAUAAAUUUCACAGUAAUUUUACAUUACGAGUCUACGUAGACUCGAUUUAAGUAUUUUCCUUCUGAACUUCACAUAUAUGCAAAUUUGUAUCUGAUGUCACUGUAAUUCCAAAGGCACAAAAACAAAACCUUCAGUAAAUAGUUUACUAUUCAUCACGCCUGAAUAGUCAAAGGAGAGAGAGAUUAAGAGAGAAAACUGUAGUAGUAGUUGUAGCUGAAUAGUCAAAGUGGAGAAGGAUAGAAAGGUGAAAAUGGUUGUUGAAAUUACUUCGAGGAUUCAAAGUCCAUCCAACAAAUGAGGAGCCUGUGAUGCUUCACCUCUAUUUCAAAUGUUCGUCUUAAUGUAUUGAUGUCUUAAUAAUCACCUUUGAAUUUCAUUAAGCUUAAUUUUGAUGCUGGAGUCGACCAUAGCAAAUGAAUGUGUUCAGUUGCAACAGUUGCUUGAGAUUGCAUGGAGAAUAUCUCGGCUUGGAGUUGUAAGAGGCAGCCUAACAUUUCUUAAGCUUUAAUUCUGGAGACAUUAGAGAAGGCAUCUUACUUGCAAAAGCCAGAGGUUUAACUACUAUCAUCAUGGAGGACGAUUCUCAAUAUACUUUUCAAGCCAUUGGUAGCCUCUCCCCUCCCAUUCAAGUUCAGGGCAUUAUUAAUGAUUAGAAGCUUUCAAUCAAACUGACAAAUAGUAAAUUUAAGAUGCAUUUUCAAUCAAACUGAUUGAUUCUGAAAUGUCAAAUGACAUAGAUGUGGAAGAAGAAUCCUCUUCAUCUUGUGUUGUAGUUUCUUCUGGAAAUAGAGCAAGCCUCGAAGGCAAUUGUAGACUUUCGAUAUCUCCUUCAAGCAUUUCUAUAACUUUAUUCAUUGAAGGACGAUCACUUGGUUUCAUUUGUAUACACCAUAGGCCAACCACAGCCAUCAUCUUAGUUAUUUUAUUUGACUCCUCCAUGGCAUCACUUAUUUCUUCAACCUUCUCGCUAGAGGCUUCAUCAUAAACCCAAAGUGGAAAAUAAGUUUCGCUUGAGUUUUCUAUCAAUGUAUUCAAAUUCUUCCUUUUACCUGCCAUUUCUAGUAACAGCAUUCCAAAACUAUAGACAUCUGCUUUAUGUGAUACACGUCCGAUAUUUCUAUAGAAUAGCUCAGGUGCCAUAUAUCCUAUUGUUCCUCUUGCGGCAGUGAGAGUGUUGAUGCUAUCAUUUGUCCCAUAUAAUUUAGAAAGCCCAAAGUCAGAAAUCUUUGGAGUGAAACUCUCAUCAAGAAGAAUAUUGUGUGGCUUGAUAUCAAAAUGUAAGAUCUGCAUGUCACAGCCUUGGUGUAAAUAUGCAAUACCACGAGCUACUCCAAGAGAGAUUUCAUAUAAUUUAUCCCAACUUAAGGACAUAGAUCCUUCACGAGAAGAUAAAUACUUGUCAAGAGAUCCAUUAGCCAUAAAAUCAUAUACAAGAGCAUACUUUGAUCCCUCUGCACAAAACCCAAUUAAUUGAACUAUAUGGGCAUGGUGAAUUCUUCCAAUUGUAGCAACUUCAUUAAUAAAAUCUUGUCCAUCAGUUUUUGAUUUACUCAACAUUUUUACUGCUGCAAUACGGCCACUGCGAAGUUUUCCUUUAUAUACACAACCAAAUCCUCCUUCACCCAACUUUUCCUUAAAGCCUCCUGUCAUUUUCUUAAGGUCUGAGUAUGAAUAUCUUAUAGGUGCCAAAUUAUUUUGACUUUGUAGAAACUCUUCAAUUGUGUUAUAUCCUGAUAAAUGUCUCCUUCGCCAUUUAUAGAUUAAGAACACAAUUACAAAUGGAGUUCCACAUAAGCUUCUUGCUGCAACAAAUAGUCCUGUAUGGGCAACAUGCAAAUGAUGGAAUAUUAGUUGUAGUAGAAUCUAUGUAGUCCUCUUGAUUAUUUGUUGUCAAUGCUUAGAAUUCACAAUUUGAAGAAUAAGAAGCAUUAGAACGUACCAAUAUAAGCAAGUAUAGCCGGCAUUGACCCUGCAAGAGACAUGAGCAUAAGUUUGUUCUUAACUUGAAAGAAAUAUUAGCAUCAACAAGAUGAAGAUAGAGACAUAACUCACUUAUAAUUUUGUAGGAUUGACCAGGUGCUCUAGAAGAAGCUUCAUUGAGUACAUGAAAAAUUAAAAUUAGCAAAAAAAAAAAAAAAGUGAAGUAUAUAUAUGACAGACCCAUUUAAUUGAUUUUUGAGAAAUCCACGGACCCAAAUUAAUCCUUAAGAAAAUUACGUACCAUUAUAGUAGGAGCACUGCCGUACAUUUUUGAAGUGACUGAAACCAAGGUAGCAAACUUCACCGACAUAAUCUAGAAAGAAAGAAAUUAAAAAGACACCAAGGUUAAUUGUACUUUUAAUUUUGUAUACGACUCGAUUAUGUUACAAUUUUAAAUAAAAACAUUUCAUAGAAUAAUCAUAAAGAAAAUUAAUAUAUUUAUAAUAUUAUAAAAUAAAACAAUUAACUAAGAUCUAACUUUAAACGUCAGCUAAUUAUUUUAAAAAACUGAAAUAUCAAAUAAAACUUUUUUUUUAAAUUAGAUAAACUAAAUAAUAAAUUUUCCCAAUAAGAAACAUGUUCCGUCUCAUUGAACAUAACGAGAUUAUGAAGAAAUCAAUCAAAAGGGAAGAAUACGCACCCGGCAUAUCCUCAAAGCAAUAAAUUUUAUUUUCUGUUUCAUCGAAUAAGCACUGUUUGGAUUUGCACAUUUUGCAUCGGUGAUUCAGCCAUGAAAUCUCAAACCCAUAAGCCAGCUCUCUGUGAAUUUCAACGUAAGACAUGUUCUUAUAAUUCCUUUCAGCAGGUAACAAUGCCGCCGUCACGAUUGUGCACGUGUCCAUCCAAUCCCCAGCUGUUAGGCCGCCGAACAUUUCAAUCUUCACGUAAGAAUGCUUCGCUCCAUUGUUAAUGCAAGAAGUAGCGUCCACGUAGUAAGUAGAAUUUACUGGCUGCACACAGUUCAUGAAAACAAUUUCUCUCGAAAAUCUAGUCGACGUAUAAGUAGAUCCGUACUUCACCAGCGUAUAUGGAAACCCAUCAGUGAAGAAGCUGGCAGAAGUUAAAGGAAAACGAGGCAUGGAGGAGCAAUCACCUUUAACAACACCAGGAUCCACCAAUCUGAUUGUGUAGUUGUUGUAGUUAAUUGCCUGAACGUAGUAGAAUUUUCCGGGGAACAGAUGCAGUACUGUGGUAUUUUUCUCACAGGAAAGUGAAUAUCUAUGGUCUCCGCAGCGUUUUGGAUCAGUUUGUAGUCGGAAAGGGUAACUAAUUUUGAGGAUAUUACCACAUGAGGAAGGAGCACAAGGAUUAUUCUUGCCAUGGCAAAUUUGGAGAAGCAGCAGGAAGAUAAAGGCUCGUUGGCCAACAGAGAGAAGACUUCUCUCAAACAUGAGAUGGAUAGUGUUUCUAGUAAACAAGAGAAGAGAGGAAAGAAUCAUUUUUCUAAGUUAACAAUUGGUCUUCGUUCCAUAAAAAUUAUUUAUCAUUUUGAAAAAUUAAAGAUUAUUAAUUAAUUUUCUGAAUUUUAUUUUUAACUUCUACGUAAUAUAGUUUCUGAAUUAAUGAUAUUUCUCUCAUUUUUUUAAAAAAAUAAUUUUAAUUUUCUAUUAUUAAAUUAGCAGGGGUGUGAAACUAAAGGUUCUUGUCACUAUUGCCCCACUAAUGGCAAGGCCUUUGCUUUAUGAACAUUUUUAUGGACUUUCACAUUGGCUUCACAUGUUGAAUAAUGCUAUGAAUUAAAAAAAAAAAAAAAACAAAAAGAAAGAAAGAUUGCUUUAAUCCUCCAUUAAGCUUCUUCUGAGUCAAAGAAUGAAGGCCACCAUAGGUGUGGAAAAUAUUUAUUAUAAAUAUUAAAACUAUAAAUACUAUAUUAUUAUAGAUUAUUAAAAGUAAAAAAUAAAGUAUUAUAAAAAAUAAAAUUUAAAGAAUUAAAUUAUUAUUAUUGAAUAGGAAAUUUUAUUAAAAUAUGAAAUUUUAAAAUUAAAUUAUAGAUUUUGAUAAAUAUAAUGUACAAUGUUAUAAAUUACCGUUUAAAUUACUAGGAUAUUAAUUGAGUAAACAAGGGUUUAAUUGCUGUCCCUGACAGUUGUCGUUAAAAUAUUUAAAAAAAAAAAAAAAAAAAAACCACAAAGGCAUCUCUGGAAUAUAAGUUCUUUAUUCAUGUGUACGUUUCUCUAUGUGUUUUCACAUUCAUGUCUUAAAGCAUCUUUUGAUGCAAACAGAGUAAUGGUUUAGUGGGGCUAAAGAUAAAACGCAUGAUUCUGAUGUAUCUCGACUGUCAAUUUCCUCUUUUUCAAUGUAAUCUGCUUUAUAGGACUUUAUGCUUUGCUUGGAUAUACAGAAAAGGAGAUGUUAGAAAAUAAAUUGAGAGAAAUAAACAAUAAGAAUAUAUAUUAAUUUUGAAUUUAUUUUCUUGCCUUUUUUUUUUGAAAUGUUUGCUUCAUGUUUUGUGAUUUCUUAAAUUAUGAUAAGUUAGAUUAUGGUAAGAAAGUUUGAAGAAAGAAAGAAGACACCCCUCUCAAUUUUCUUACAUUAGUUGUAGCUCAUGUAAUUCUUAGUAUACAAACCUCUUCUUUGUUGGACCUGUGAAGUAUAUAAUGGAAGUCUAUUUAGACAUGGAGGCCCAUUGGAGUGUUUUGAAGGCCCUUUGCAAAGGAUGAUGAGCCUAAAAGUCUUGUAAUUAUUUUGGUUAGUUAAUUUCUUUUAGUUAGUUAUUUUUUUUUUUUAGGUUUGUAACUAAUUUCUUUCUUCUCCAUCCUUUUCUUAGUGCCAUUGGUUUAAUUUUUUUCUCCUCUCUCUUUUUUUAGUUUAGGACUUGGAUUUUUUUUUUUUGUUAUUUCUUUUUCUUUCCUUUCUUUAUUCACUUUAUGCACUUGAUCUAAUAUGCAUAUAAGUAAAUUAGUAAAUUAAAUAACUCACUCGAUAAUCUAAAAGCAAUUUUAAUAUGAUAGAGAUAUGGUUAUAUAUGCUUAGGAUGUGAUUUACACUUUUGACAUGAAAAAUAACUAAAUAGUAAUGACUUUAUGGUAAAAUGACUAUAAAAUUAGACUUUAAAAAUAUAUGCUACAAAUUUAGUGAGACCUUUUUUACUAUGUGCUAAAUAUGGACUUAAAAAUCAUGCAUGAUUAAGUUUUUCUCUUUGAUGCAAAUUGAUCAAUAGUAUAAAUUAAAUUUAUAAACCUAAUUAAUUAGCGGAACUUGAUAAUUUCUUUACCUUAAGUCAAGUAAAAAUUUUGAAUGCUAAGCUAAUAGAUACAUAUGAAAUGGAUGUUUUGUAUGAUUCAAAAUAUGUAUAACAAUUAAAUUGCAUAUUAUCAGAAAUAGAUUUUCUAAUAUAUAUUUUGAGAUAAGAAAUAAAAAUUAAUGUAUAGGACUGAUGAUUCUCAUAUAAAAUUUAGGAAAAAAAAGUGUAUAACUAAGAAUAAGUCGCAUAACCACGUCCUCCUGUUUAUAGUUUGAUUAUUUUAUGGGUUGACUUGUCCUCUCAUUUAACUUGGACUUGGCACGUGUUGUAGUUCGGAUCUUUUAAUGCAAAUAUAUCUGUUGCAUGUUAAAAAAAGAAAAACUACCCAUGAUUUAUCAUGAUGAGGAUAUCUUUUGUAUAUUCAAAUAUUUUUGCAUUUUAAAUUAGUUAAUUAAGGUAAUACUUAUCAAUUUGUUUAUCACUCCAUAUGUGUGUGAAAAUAUUGGGUAAUUCAUCGAAAAAAUUCGAGGUUUAUUUUAAUAUGAACUUUUGGAUUAAUUAAGUCAAUAUUGGGAUUUGCAUGUGUUUUUUAUUAAUUUUUUAAAAAUAAAAUAUGAAAAUUUAAAAAAUAUGAUAUGUAAUAUUUUAUUAUUUUUAAUAUAAAUUAAUUCAACAUUAAAAAUAAUAUUAAUUCUUAUUUAAUUAUAAUUAAUUAAUAUAUUUAAUUUUAAAGAUAAAUAAUUUAAUUAUUAAAUAUACUAUACAUAUUUUAAUUAUUUAUAAUUUUACAGUAAAUAUGGAAUCAAAAGUUUAAAUUAAAAUAUAAAAUAAUGGGAAGAUUUAGGCGAAGAGAUACAGUCUUUUUCGGUAUAUAAUAUUUCAUUCAGUACUAAAAACUAAACUACAUUUAAUCCGAAAUUUGACCAUUGGUGAACACAAAAUUUAAAAUUAAAUUAAAUUAAAUAAAUUAAAAAUUAAAAUUUUAAUAUUUAUAAAAAUUAAAUUAACUUUAAAUAAAAAUUAAAUCAAAUCAAAUUAAUUUAAUUCGAUUUGAUUAAUUUAAUUUUUUAAUAAAUUUUUAUUAUAGUUUUUAUUAAAGUAAUUUAAAAUGAUAUAAAAAUUUUUUAUAUGGAUUUGACAUGGGUGAAUUUAACAUAUAUAUAUAUGCGCCAAAUUUUAAAAGUGGGUUCUUAAGAAUUAGCCACCUACAUUAACAAUGGUGGUUAACAAAAGCACGACAUAAUAAUUUUUUUUAUUCUUAUUUUGUAUUUUUAUUAUAUAAAAAAAUUAACUUAUCAACUGUUUUUGAAAAAAAUUGUAUCUAACAUUACAGCAUAAUAAAAGUAGUUUACCUGCUCUUCAUAUCGAUUCUGUUUAAUGCAAGUUUCUUGUGGAUAUAAAAUCCUUUUACUACAAAUAUAUAUAAAAUUACAUAAAAUUCUAUAUAAAAAUUAUUAACUAAAAUUAUUUAUUAUUAUUUGAAAUUAAAAUUAAAAAUUUUAUUUUAAUAAAAUUUUAUAGUAUUAAUUUUUAAAAUGAUUAAAUUACUCUAAAAGUAUUAAAACUAAAUAGCUUAAACUAUUAUAAAAUCUAAGAUUUAAAUAAUUAAAUUAUUAUAGUUUAAAAAAAAUAUUAUUUAAUUAACAAAGUAAAAUUUUAAACAAUUUAAUCUUUGGGUAUUACCAUUAUUAACAAGUCAGUCUCUACAUUUUCAGAAACUUAUUAAAACGUUCUUAUUUUUUCUCUGCAUUAACAAAAUAGUUAUUCCGUUUAUUUCUACCCUUAAAAAUAUAAUAAAAGACCAAAUUACCCUCUCUUUUUUUUUCUCCUCCUUCUUCAUUGAUUCUUUCUCUUCUUCUUCUUUUUUUUUCUUAUUCUUCUUAUUUGAUUCUACUUUGAUUUUUCUUUUUAUUGUUUUUUAUUUUUCUUCUUUACGAAGAAGGAGAAGGUGAUUCUUCUUCUUUUUCAUCAUCAUCAUCCUCUUCUUCUUCUCCUCCUUCUUCUUUUUCUUCUUCAUCAUCAUCUUCUUCUUGUUUUUAUUUUUUUUUUGAGGAGGAGGACUAUUUCAUUGAUGGAAAGAAAUGUUAAAUAUGUUUUAAUAGAUGUGAGAAAAAAUAGAAAUUAUUUCGUUGACGGAAAGAAAUAAUAAGGACAUUUUAAUAGAUAUGAGAAAAGAUAAGGACGUUUUAAUAAAUUUCUAAAAAUAUAAGGAGAGACUAUUUCGUUGACGGAAAAAAAUGACGAGAAUGGACUAUUUUGUUAACGGAAAAAAUAAUAAGAACGUUUUAAUAGAUAUGAAAAAAGAUAAGAACUAUUUUAUUGACGGAAAGAAACGAUAAGAACGUUUUAAUAGAUAUGAGAAAAGAUAAGAAUGUUUUAAUAGAUUUCAAAAAAUAUAGGGACUGAUUUAUUAAUAAUAACAAUAUUCAAGUACUAAAUAAAAGAUUUUAUUUGAAAGUGAAACUAAAUUUUAAAAAUUUUUUCGCUUAUACUUUAUUUAUUUUUAAUGAAAAAGAGGUUGAAAGAAUUAUUUUGUAGAAACUAACUUAUUAACGACGAUAAUAUCUAGAAAUUAAAUUAUAAAUCUCCCCUCUAAAAAUUAAAUUAAAUAUUUUCUUACUUCAUAUUAAUAUAUUUUUUUGACAUUUUAAUUUAUUAUAUUGCUUUAUUGAUAAGGCCUGCCAAAAGUAUUUUUAAAGCAUAGAAUAAAACCUACGCAUUUUAUUUUUUAAUUGAUUGAAUAAUUGACUGUCUAAUCUUAUGUACAAAUACUCCAUCUUUAUUUUCAAUUAUUUUUUAUAUUUUAAAUCAUUUUAAUGUUUUUUAUGUGCCGUUGUUUUGACAACAACGUCACACAGACUCUCUCUCUAUGUAUAUAUAGAUUGAAUUUCUAUUCAAUGCAUCGGAUGAAUUCUCCGUCGCUGUCGUCAGAGGCGAGGGCUACUACGGGACAGAGGAAAAAAUAAUGAGGGACUAUAAAUUAUUACUUAAAUAAUUUUUUUUUAGAGUAGUUGGAAUGAAAUCGUAUAACAAUCGUUGUAGUAUUGCACAGCGUCAGCAGUAUUCAGUUUGACCAGAAAUAAUUGAUUUCAGUUUGGUUUUAUUUAUUUAUAGAAUUUUAAUAAUUUUAAUUAAAUAAAAUUAUAAUGAUCAUGAGUUAUUAUAAUAUAAAAAAAUAAAUAAUAAUAUUAAAAUAAUUAAAAAAAUAAAUAAAAAUUAUGAAACAAGUAAAUAUAUUUUUAAAAUUUUAAUAUUUUUAACGUUUAUGAAGUAAAAUUAAAACAGAUAGGAAUACAAAACUAACCAUAACUGCAAAAACUCAAAGGAAUUAAUUUUAAUUGAAUUUUAAUAAUAUAAAUUUUUUUAAUUAAAAAUUAAAAAUUAAAAAAAUAAAAUCUAAAAUCUCUCAAAUUUUUUUAAAUAUAUUUAUUAUCAAAUUAAAAUUACGACUAUUAAUAAUAUAAAUUAUUUAGUGUAUUAUUAAAAAUAUAAAUAUUAAUUAAUUAAUUUUAAAAUACCACAAAAAGCUAAAUAAUAAUUUCUAUUAUAUUUAAUUACUCUCCACUUAUAUAAAUGAAGAAAUUAUUCAUUUAAAGACAUGACAUCAGUUCCACAUAUUAAAUUAAUUUUCAAUUAAAAAUGUUACAUUAGUCUAACAUUAACCUUAUCUAAAACGAAAAAAAGCUUAUUAAUGUGAUAUAACAGGUGUGCGUUGGAUGAAGAUAAUUUAAAGAUUGAAAAUUUUUAUAGAUCUUUGUAAGUUUCCGCUGUAGUCAUUGUCAUUACUAAUUAUUAAUUAGUCAACGCAAUUUAUAAAAUGUAGGCCAGUGAAAUUAUAAAUUAAUUUUAGCAUUCGUUGUUUGAAAAAUAUUUUUUAUUUUUUUUAUAUGUAGAAAUCUUAAUAAAAUUUUUAUAAAGAAAAAAUAAUAUAAUUUUUUUUCUUAAUAUAUUUUUCAUUAAUUAAUUUUUUCAAUAUUUAAAUAUUAAAAAAUAUAAAAAAUAUUUUUUCUCAAAAGAAUGGAGCUCACUUAUUUAUGCACUAAGUCUUCGUAUAUUUUAUAAAAAGUAAUUUAUAUUUAUAAAAUAUUUUUAAUGGAGUUCAUUUAUUUACAUAUUUUAUUCCAUUUAUUUUAAAACAAUCAUUUAUAUUUAAAAAAUAUUUUCCAUGGAAAAUAUUUUUUAUUCAAAAUAAUUAAUUUUUUAUUACUUAAUUUUAAUUUAAGGUUUUAUUUAUUUCAAAAAAAUAUUUUAUAGAAAAAUAUUUUUUAUAUUUUUUGAAAUUUGAAAAAUUUAGAAAAUUUAAUUAAUAAAAAAUAUUUUUUUGUUAAAAAAUAAGUCAUUUUAAGAAAAUUGAGCUUCUCUUUUUUUUACAUUUUGAAAUUUUUAUUAAAGUAUUUAUAUACAAAUUUAUUUAAAAAAUUUAUUUUUUAAAUUAAAAUUAAAUAAUGAAAAUAAGCUAUUUUAUUGAAAAAUAUUUUCUAUAACAAAUAUUUUCUACAUAAAAUAUUUUUUAUCGAGUAUAUUUUUUAAAUAUAAGUUAUUUUUUCAAAUAAAUAAAAAUUAAAAAAUAAAAUUUAUUAAUAAAUUUAUAUAUAAGUAUUAAUAAGGAUUUUAAGACAAAGAUAAAAUUUUUUUUCUUUAAUAUGACUAUUUUUUUUAUUAAAAAAUUAUUUUUUAUAAAUUAAAUUUUCUGAAUGGUUCUGACAAUAUGAAAAGUUUUUUCUUAAAAAAUAUAUUUUAUGAAAUAAAUAAAAACUUAAAAUAAUAUCAAAGAAAUGAAAAAUUAAAUUAAAAUUUUAAAUUAAUUUAAUUUAUUAAAUUUUUUAAUUUGAAAUGAAUACCACUCACUUUUAUUUCUCGUUAUAUCAAAAUAAUAUGAUUAUUAAAAGUCAAAACAUAAUUAAACACAAUGAAUAAAAUUAAUAAUGCAAUUAUUUUAAAAUAAUUUAAUCUAAUAAGUGUAUUCAAUUAAAUCUGAAAGGUUUGUGAUUUUAUUUUUUAUUUUUCAAUCUCUAUUUUAAAAAUAAAAAAUAUUUGUGGACUGCUAAAAUUAUUUAAAGCAUAUAAUUAAACCUAAACAUUGCAUCAUUCAAAUUAAACCUAAAAUAUUUUAUUUAUUUUUAUUUUAAUUUUGUGAAGUUUGGCUUUGAAUAUUAAUUAAAAAAAAAAUCCAAAAUUGAAUGGAACGAAUUGACCGUCUUCUCUUUUCUGUAUAUAUAUAUAUAUAUUUAUUAUACGUAUUAUUUUCUUAUACGGCAUUGUUAUGAUAACAUCACUGAAAAUAUAUUUAUUUUAUAAAAAAAUAAUACGAAUUAAUGUGAGAUAAUAAUUUGUUAAUUAAACGAUAUUAAAUUAUGGAUAUUAAAAUCAAAUAAAUCAAACUCCUCACUUUGUUUAAUUUGUUUUCAUAUUCAUAAAGUCCACACCUCAAUUAUUAAUUUUAAUUUUAAUUUUAUUAGUUACCUUUUUUUAAUUGAUACGAUUUUAGCUUGAAAUUUCAGUCAAAAUUUAUUAAAAAAUAUUUUCUUUAAUAGAGACAUGGAAGGAAGAAGGUCGUGGACUCAUUAAUAAAUUUAAAUUUUAAUAAUUAAUGUCUAACACGUUAUUAUUUAUAGGAAAACAAAUUCAGUAACUGAUCGUUUGACUAAUUUAAUUAUUAGUGAUGAUUUUAAUUUGAAAACUUAUUAAUAGCCUCCUGUUACUAUUAAAUUUUUACUGGAUACUGAUAAAUGGGUUUUCAUGGUCUAAAUUAAUAAAAUAAGGGCUCUAUCUUUUUUUUAAAAGAAAAAUUUUAAAUAUAUUUUUAAUAAGACUUAUUAGAAAAUUCUCAGAUGUUUUGAAAAAUUAAUAUUCAUUUAAAAAAAUUCAAAUGAAUUAUAAUUAUAUUAGCUAUUUGUAUGAUCGAUUAUGUUUAAUUUAUUAUAUAUACCUCUCAAAUUCAAAAUUAAACAGUUAAAAUUAUUAUAAAAAUUUUUUCAAAAAAAAUGAAAUCUUAUAUCCUCAAAAAAAUAAAAAUAAAAAUGAUAAUAAUUUAAAGGAAAUAUUAUAAUUAAUAGAAAAAAUUACUAUUUAAUCCCUAUAAUAUGGUAAAACUCACUAAUUGAUUUCUCUAUUUUGAAAAAUAUAUUAAAACGUUUCUAAUAUUUUAAAAAAUCUACUAAUUAGUCUCUUUAUUAAUUUUAACUGUUAAUAUUUUACAGUUUAGUCUCUAUAAUUUUCAAAAAUUUAUUAAUUAGUCUCUCAAAUUUUUAAAAAGACUACUAAUUAGUCCUUUCAUAUAAAAAGUAUUUUAAAUUUUUUUAUAAUACUUAACGAUAAAAAUUAAUAGAUAGACUGAAUAAUAUAUAUUUUUUUUAAUAAUAGACUUUUUAAAAUGUCAAAAAUGAUUCAAUACAUUUUUCAAAAUAGAGAAAUCAAUUAGUGAGUUUUAUCAUAUUAUAGAGACUAAAUAGUUAAUUUUUUUAAUUAAUAUUAUAAUAUUGUAUAAUGAUAGAAUUUUUACUUCAAUAUUAUAGAUUUUAAUUACUCAAUUUGUAUUACGAUUUUUUUUGGUAAUUUCUAUUAUAUAUCCAUAUAUAAUUUAUGUUUUUGAGAAAAAAAUUUUGUAUUGUAAUUACAAAUAUUUUUUGUUAAAAUUUUAUAAAUCGUGCUGCACUUUUGUAUAUUUAAUUAAGUACUCUACAAUUAUGAUUAAUUAAAGACAUCACGUCGAUUCCACAAAAUUAAUUUCAAUUGAAAAUGUUAAAUCAGUCUAACAUUAACCUUAUACAAAAAGAAAAGAUUUACAGAGAGGUUUAGAAAGAAUAACAUUGGUUCACAUAUAUAUAAAUUACAUAGACAAAUCUCCCUCAUGUUUUAAGAAAAUUAUUUUAUUUCAGUUUACUUCACCUGUCUAAAAAUACUAUGAAAUGAAUUAGGACCAAUAGAAAUUUUACCUCCAUGUUUAUGUGAAGUGUCCAAGGCUAUUGAUGAUAUGAACAAUAGGAAUAGUGCUUGAUAGGACUAAAUAAGAAUUUUGAUUCUGUGAAGAAUUAAGUUUUAGUUAUGAAUCCGUUAUCUCUGAUAAAUAGAGCAUACUCUGUAGCCCUUAAGCAUGAAUCUCAAAAGGAGGUUCUGAGCAAAACAAACUAUGAGUUCAUUGAAAUUUUGAUGUUGUUUAAUCAGUCAUAGGGACAUUUACAGAAAAGUAAACAAAAAAAAAAAAAGAUCCAAAGGAGAGCACUAUAGUCAUUGCAACAUGAAUGGUCAUGUUAGGGAUAUCUAUUUCAAACUAAUAGGAUAUCCAUACUGGUUUAAGAACAAAACCAAGAUUGGAGGGCAAUAUGCAAUUGUGAUAAUAAGGCGGCUCAAAUUGUAACUAAUUUGGUUUUCCAUGAAAGGACGAAACAUAUUGAUAUUGACUGUUAUAUUAUGCGAGAACAGUUUUAGAAUGAUUCUUUAAUUACUUCACAUGUAUCAAGUCAAGACCAGGUCGCAGACUUAUUUACUGAACCUUUGUCAGCAACUUUAUACCAGCAUUUUUGCUCCAAGUUGUCUCUGGUGCCUAUCCUAACUCCAACUUGAAGGGGAGGGAUGAAUGAUGAUUUGCCGACUUGCCGACUGACGAUAGAAUUGACCUGCCGGCUGAUGAUAGAAUAUGAAUGAUGACUUGCUGAGUGACGACUUGAUGAUCUAAUGACCUGAUGACCUAAUGAUUGGCUGACAACCUGAUGACCUAACGACCAACUUGACGAUCUGACAAUCUGAUUAAUUGAAUUAUAUUAUUUUAAAUACUAUGACGACUUGAUGAUCUAAUGACCUGAUGACCUAAUGAUUGGCUGACAACCUGACGACCUAACGACCAACUUGACGAUCUGACAAUCUGAUUAAUUGAAUUAUAUUAUUUUAAAUGCUAUUUUGUAGAUGGGCUUUGUUAGGACCAUAUUGUUUUAGCUUGAAUUCUUUAAGAACUCUUAUAUUACUUUCUUUUUUGGAUCGUGCAUUGCACGUGAGAUAGAUUUAUAGAUUUAGUAUAAAUAAUCUCUCUUAUGUUUUUAUCAAUAUCUUCUUACAUCAUAGCUCAUUAAGUCAAGUCUUGAUUCUAGUUUUUACUAUCCUUAUUAAACCAGAAACUGAAAAGUUCUCCAGGCCUUCGAUCAGAAGGGUGUCAAUAUAUAAAUGGAGUUGUCAUCACACUAACACAAGGUAGCAUGGUUAUUAUAGUCAAAACACUCAAAACUUAAACGGAACGAAUAACAUUAAUAAUGCAUUUAUCAUACGACUUUAUGGAUUAUUUUUGCCUUUCCGUAUUUAAAUGGGAAACAUCUCCAACUAUUAUUCAACUAUUUUUAUAGGUUUUUUCCUUCCUCAUUUUCACAUAAUUUUUUAUAGCUUAAUUUUUUACAUGUGGGCUGCCAAAGUUAUUUUUAAAGCAUAUAAUUAAAUCUUAAUAUUUUCAUUUAUUUUUUAAAUUAGAGAUGUUUCUAAUCCAACACACUGAAAUUAAAUUCUAGUGACAUUAAAUCGACUCAUUAAAGAGUAAAAUUUUUUUAAAAUUAUUUACUUCAUUCAUUCAUGUGUAUAAAACUUUUCAAUUUUAUUUAAAAUAAAAAAAUAUUUAACCACUUAUUAUAAUACUAUUCAAUAAAUAUUUUAUUUUUAAAGCAAAAGUUUGGCUUUCAAUAUCAAUUAUAAAAAAAUUCCAAUUUUCAAUGGAGUAAUUGACGUUCUCUUUUCUGCAUUUUAAUAUAUAUUCCCAUCUGUAUUUUCAAAUCUCUUUUAUAUUUCAAAUUAUUGUAAUGUUUUUCGUGUCAUUGUUUUUCACUACAAUAUCACUGAAAAUAUAUAGUUCAUUUCAUGAAAAAAUAAAAAAAAAUACGAUUUAUUGUGAGAUAGGCAUUCGCGAUAUGUUGAAGAUAGACUUAAUUAAACGAUAUUAUGUAUGCACUUGCGUAAGAAGAUGCUCUAAUUUGUUUAAUUAAACGAUAUGAAAUUUGUUGAUAUUAAGAUCAAAGAAAUCAACAAUAAAUCCUCAUCACUUGCUUUUAUUUUUUUUUUCAUAUUUAUGAAAUUCGCAGCUUAUUAUUUUUAAUUUUAGUUUAUUAGUUACUUUUUUGUUUUAAUUUAUAUGAUUUUGAGUUGAAAUUUCAGUCAAAAUUUUCUUUUUUAAAAAUUAUUUUUAAUAGAGAACACGGGAAAUUAAGAAGGGGCCUUAUUGGAGGUACACUAUCAUAAAUUUAAAUUUUAACAAUAUGCCUAACACAUCAAUGAAAAUUUAAAAAUAUGUUUCUAAUAAAAAUUAUUAGUAAAUGAUGUUGCUAAAAAUAAUUUGUAUGUGACUUGAUAAUCUACAAAAAAGAAAGAUGAGGUAGUUGGGUUUAGAAGUAGCCACUCCGAUAUUCAAGUUAAUAAUUUUUCUAAAUGGGCGAGUAUAAAUGAUAAGUUUGAGUAAGUAGAAUUGAAUAUUAAAAUAUUUACUUUUAUAUUGUACUAAGAUGGGGCUAGUUAAUAAUUUUCUUAAAAAUUCGACUAGUGGAUAAGGGAUUAUGUGAUAGUAGUUGUUUUGUAGAUUUACUUUAUAACGUCUUUUAACAGUAACAAGACAUUUUGAGAGGCUCAACCAACUCAAUGAGCAAAGCCUUUACUUAACCGGGCAUCUCACAUAUGAUCGACCUUGUCUCCAUGUUAUAAGUGGUUAAGUCUAAGUAUCGGAGUACCGUGGUUGUAAGAGCGAAGCCUUUACUUAACCGGGCAUCUCACAUAUGAUCGACCAUGUCUCCACGUUAUAAGUGGUUAAGUCUAAGUGUCGGAGUACCGUGGUUGUAAGGGUUAUGUUACAUGGUGCAAUCAUAUAUUGACAACACGUUAUAGAUUUUGGGCGAAUACCAAGUCAUAUAAGAAGUUCCUCCAAAGGUCUUUGAUUCUUCAAAUUUGAAGGUUUACAGCUGAUUUUUACAGUUGGGUCAUGCGGCAUGACCAAAUUGGCUCCUUGUAUCACAUUCAUACGCCUGCCUGAUGCCAAUUGAUGUUGCUUUGCUUAUCGAACCGCAUUAAACCCAGCAGUCAUAUCAAUAGUAUAAAAAUUCUCCCUUUCUCCAAUCAUUACCACUUUUGCUCAAAAAAUCUUCUUUCUUUAUAAAAAAGCUUGAUCACUCGGUACUUCCCUUUACGUUCUUCUCAAAGGUAACUCCCUUUUUGUUGCUUUUUCUAUCCUAGAAAUGAAUAAGCCUUCUUCUUCUUCUUUUUCUUCUAGAGGUAGUUACUCUUUAUCUCUUCAUCUAGUGGCCCCAUCUGUGCUCCAACCCUUAUAGUUUCUUUAAGGGCAAUUCAUAGUUUCUUUAAGGGCAAUUCACGACAAUGAAGCCCUACUUGUAAAUGACAACCCAUUUAUGCUGUCUGAGAGGGAUGUAAAUAGUCUAGUAGUUUUAAUCAUUAUCCAAUCAUGAUAAUAAUAUCAACCCGGAACAGUUGGAGACCUUACUUAAAUGCAAUAGAAAUUUUAUAAUUAUAACUACAUAGUCUCAUAAACUUUAUAUUUACUUGAAAUUCAAUUAAAUUAACACUAAAGAUAAAUACCUGUCUUUAUAAAAUUAUAUUUAAAUACUUAAAAUACACGAAUAAUAAUAUCUAACUACAAUCAACAAAUUGGCUGUAUGAUACAUUACUAACAAUUUUUUCUAUUAUAAUCUAAAUAUUUUUCUCCACUUCAAUACACUAUAGUAAAUAACCCAAAGAAGGAGAUGGUGAGGCCAAAUAGGUGAUGCAUUGUGACUAGAAAAUGGUGCUUACAGUAGGCAGAGGAUCUAAGUUGGUGUUGAUGAUCAUGAGCUUUUGUUGGUGGUUAAGAGGUGAUAUAGGUAAUGCCUAUAGUUAUAGAUCCUUAAGGAUUUAGGUGUUCGGUUUUGAUUUUGAUAUGGUUACAGAUAAAAAUUAGAAUCAAAAUCAAAACUUAAGUUUUUUAAUUUUAGGAACCAUAGUUGAAACAAACUUCAACUUUUAUUCAAUUCUAAGCAAUUUUAGUAAUGAUUUAGUUAGAUCUAAUUCUUAUAUGGCUCUAUUUUACCUUCAAGUUUCCAAUUUCGUCGUGAUGUUUAAACCUAAUUUAAAUGGAGAUUAUGAAAAGCAAAGGGAGAGAAGUUCAUCCAAAGAUGAUAUUAUCUAGUACAUAUCCCAUAUUACACAAAGGGAGAAAGGAAAUGCAGGUUGCGAUGGGAAGUAGGGGAAUUUAAUGAUACCGAGUGCAGGUGAGAUAGAAAGUUGAGUGUAAGGGCAGGAAUUUUAAAUUUAUUCAGUUAAAAUGUCUCAGUGGGACAUAAUUCACCUAUCUUCACCUUCCCUGUGUGGCCAUUUUGUCUUCUACUCCCAUAUAUUUUUAUCUUGAAAGGACAACUUUGGGAUAAAGAGACAGAGCAAGUACCUCCGACCGUGCUCUUAUUCUUUAUUCCUUAUCAACUUUUAAAAAGAUUCCUUAACUUUUAGAAGACAUCUUCUUUGGUAAUCCAAUUAAUUUAAUUUGUCUUUUUCUAUACGGACUUUAUUAAAUAUUUCUAGUAUAAUUUGACAAUAGAAAGAAAACAAAAGGGGAUUUUGUCCUAUCAUUUGAUCAAUUCUAAUUACGUUGAUGUUCUUGUCGCUUUGAUUUUCGAAGAAAUUCUUAAAUCUGUUAAAAAUCUUAUACUUUUGAUCUUUCUCGGCGUAUAUUCAAAGUCUGUUUUAUGUAGUCAUUAAUAAAACAAAAAAAAAAAAUGAAGUAUGUGUUUAUUGACGGAAAGUGUCCUCAUUUGAUUGCAUAUAUCAAUAUCAACUAGAAAUGAGCAGUGGAAUUGAAUUAAUUAAAAAAUUUGAUUUGAUUUUUAUUAUUUUAGUUUAGUUUCAUUUUUAUUUUUAAAAUUUUUUUGUUUAGUUUGAUUUAAUAAAAAAUAUUGAUAAAAUCAAAUCAAUUAGUGAAAAUAUUUUAAUUAAAUUUAAAAUAUUAAAAAAUAAGAUGUAAAAAAUAAAAAAUCCAUUAAAAAGUCUAACCGAUCAAACCCAAGCUAUUGAAUAUUCAUUUUUAAUAUGAAUCAACUUUAAGGCUACGUUAUUAAAAGAUAAAAAAAUAUAACAUAAAAGCUUACAAAGACAUUUUGGACUAGAGCAAGUGAUGGAUGUCGAAAUUAUCUAAAAAUAAUUUAUUUAAAUUUAAUAAAUAUAAAUUACGUAUAAGGUGAAUUAGAUCGAGUAACAAGAAAUUGACAAUAAAAAUCUUUGAUUAAUAACUAAUAAAAUAAACAAACAAAUAAAAAUGGUGUUUUGAUGAAAAGUGAAAUUAAAAUAUAAAUAAAGACAAUUAAAGAGAAUAAUAAUUAAAAGAAAAUUAAAUUAAUAUAAAUAAAAUUUAAUUGAAAAUUAGAAUUUAUUUCAGUUAUGGGAAUUGAUUAUAGAAAUAAAAAUAUAUUUAUUCAUUUCAAUAAAUUAGUUCUACUUAUAGAAGACACUCCACAUAAUCAAUUUCUUCUUAGAUAUAAAUUAAUUAGAAAAUGUAAAUUAACUCUAAUCAAUAAAUAAUCCAAAAAACGUUUAUUUGAUUUAAUUUAUCAACAGCCUUAAGAUUUAGAGUGAUUCAAUUCUAAACGAGAACUCAAACCACAUUGUGAGUUUAAACUAAAUUAUACAAUUCCUUAGUGGGUUACACUAAUUGUUAUUUUUUAUUCAAUAACUCAAAUAAUUAUGGAUUUCAAACAUCCAAACUAAUAAUAUACUACCUUAAAAAUAUGAAUAAUGAGCCUUAUUAGUCAAUUAACAAGACAAUUUAAUAAUAAUAAAUGAAAUUAUAUAAAUAUUAGAAGAAUAAAAGAUGAAUAAUAAUAUUUAGAUUUCACAAUUCAUGAAAAAACUGAAAUUUCAACCUAUCUCUAAUUAGAAAUAAAAAAAUUAGCCACACAUAACUUACAAGAAAACAGGAAAAGGAAGAAGAGAAUUCGGCGGGAAGAGAGAUCUGUUGUUGUCGCCAAAUAGGAUAUGUAUAGCUGAACCCUAGUAGAACUCUUGCUACACUUUCCUAAAGAUUUUGAUUUAAGAUUUCCUUCUGAUUUGUUUCCUUGGAGAGGUUGGGAGAGAUCAUACCACACUUAAAAAAGAGUGAUAUCGAGUGAGAGAUUCUGCUGCUUUAAAUAAGGAGAUCUGAUUUUUCUUGUAAAUCUUGAGUCAAUCACACUUUCUAUUGAGGAUUGGCAUGGAUUGAUAGUUUGAUUUGCUCGGAGGUUUGAGCAAGUCUCUAGUCCAAUACUGACUGGUCAUCAACGGUUUCUGUUGAGCUGCUGGACAAAUUUUGAAUUUGAUGAUGCAAGAUCAACUUGCAGGUUCAACUAGCAGGUCAAGUCUUGUUCAGCAAAUGUCUCCAUAGUUUUUAUUAAACCAGUUGUUUCUAUGCAUUUUUAUAAAAGUAUCGUCAAAAAAGUGCAAGAUUGAUCAUAAAAGACUCAAAUUAGUGCUAAAGGAGAGCAUAACGUAUGCUAAAAUUAUGCCUUAACAGCAAGCACCUCGAAUUUGAAACCAUAAGAUUGAUAUUUGCUUGACAACUUUAUUGAAAGUCCUAAUAAACCAUCAUUCUAUAUUAAGGUAUGAAAUCCAAAAAAUUUCUUACGGAGAAGUUCAAGAAAUCUAUAAUGUACAAAUAUGAAAUGCUUGGCCUUGUGACCAUAAAACUAAAGUGAAGCAAGAGAAUCUAUAAUGUACAAAUAUGAAAUGCUUGGCCUUGUGACCAUAGAACUAAAGUGAAGCAAGAGCAAGUCUAAAAAAAGCAAAAAAAAUCUAAUCAAGAAGCUCAACAUAGCAAAUGCAAAUCAUUAAUAACAUGUCGUGAUAAUCAUCUAUGAAUAAUAAAAGAAAUGAACAACACUAGUUCAGCUUCUCAAUAUAGGGCUACAUCCAUAGCCAUCUGUCUUCUACUGUUAAAUAAUAAAAUCAUAAAUUACAAGCUCAAAAAUCUAAUUUAAUAUAUUUACUAUAAUUGCAAUGUAUCACAAAAGAGUGUCUUCAACUGCAUACUUCAUGAUCAUAGGCCAAAACCCCUCUCUCUCUCCCUUCAUGGGACUACACUAAUCACAAUGGGCAAAAUCUCUUUUCCACGAUCCUUACUUGCACAAAUCUUCUCACCACAAUGGCUAAACCUUCAAUUCAUGGGAUAUCAACCAUAUCCCUAUUUAUAGUGUUAGACUGUCCAGUCCUAAUGAGAAUUCCAUCUCAAUUAGGAAUAGCACAUAAUUAAGAUAUCUAACCUUCGUAGUCCUCAUCUCCUAUUCUAAUCUAAUUAGUAAUUUCAUUUUAUUUAUUUAGGAAUAAUACAUAAUUAAGAUAGCUUUUAUAGUCUCUAUUUAUUGAAAAAUAAAUCUUUUAAGACUAUACAGCUACGAAAUAUAAAUCUCCACAAGUAAAAAGUAUGCACUAGAAUCAUGAGAUACACAUCAAACAAUUUUCAAAAACUAACAGGUCCAAAUAAAAUCCUGAUAAAUAAAUUAGAUAUUUGUGUACAAAAAUUUUCAAUUUUGAGUUUGUUUUAAAUAUUAUCAUUCCGAUCUUUUUGUAAGAGCAUGUUACCAAUAGGCUUUAUAUCUCAUCGGUAAAUUAAUAAUCGAUUAUCAAUGGAUUUUACAAUUAAUUGGUAAAAUGAUUACCCUUUUUUCUUAUAAUUACUUUCGACACAUUUUUAUAGAGUAUUAUAGGGGUUAAAUGAAUCAAAUUAUUCAUGAGUUACUUGAGAUUUGAUUCGAUAAAAAUUCGAGAGAUCUCGACUCGAUUUUUAUAAGAAUUAAGCUCGAACUUAAUUUUUAAACUCAUUUAGUAAACGAGCUAAAAUUGAAUUUUAUAGUAUUCGUCUCAUUAAGAUUCAUGAGCUUAACUCGUUUUCGAGUUCAUGAGCAAGCUUGCAAACAUAUUCAUGAACAGUCUCAUUAAAUAUGCUGAGAUUAAUAUUAUAAAAAAUAAAUUCAAAUUAUCUAUAUACUUUCAUGAGUCAAAUCUAAAUUUUUUAAAAUUCAACUCUAUAUAGUUUAAUUAUACUAUUAAAAUUUGCAUAUAUGGGAUCGUUAAGAUUUAAUUGUUCAUUCUUUACUAGCUGCGAGCUAAUUUAUAUAUAUUUUUAUUUAAUUAAAUUAUUUAAUUUUAAACUUAUAUUUUUAAAUUAAAACUCAUUAUACAUGUAAAUCAAUUAAACUAUUUGUAAAAUAUUCGAGAUUAAACUUAAUAAAAACUUGAAUCGUCUAAACUUGUUUGCUAAACGAAUUAAACUUGGACUUAUUAAUAUUCGGCUUGAGUUCAAAAUGAGUGAAAUUCAAAUUCAGUUCAACCUCGAAAAAAUUUUAACGAAUCAAUAUUGAACUCUUCAAAACUCGACUUGGAUUCGACUUAUUUACACCCGUAAAUGUUUAUUUUAAAUAAUUACAAAAUGAUUAAAAUAUUUUAUAAACUCUAAAAAUAAAAUCAUCUAUUUAUUUAUAAUAUUUUUAUGAUUUUUUAAAAAAAUUGGUGAAAUUAAUUUUUAUUUUAUUAUUUAUAAAUACUAAACUUAUAAAUUGACUCGAGUAAAAAAAAUAUAUUACCCUGAUUCAAUUUUAAAAUUUCACUAUUUAUAUCUUAUUAUAUAUCAAUUUUAAUAAUUUUAAUAGUUCCUUAAUAUAUCAAUUACUUACAAAUAGUUCAAUCAAACUCGUAAUUAUUUAAAAUUUUAAAUAUUUAUAAAUUUCAUGCUAACUUAUAAGCACUAAAUUAAGUCAAACACAUCCUAGUCUCUCCAAUUUUAGCAAUUUCUAAAAUUUAGAUAGAAAGAGACUUUUUCAUGUAGAAAUCUUAAAACCAUUUGAUCAAUAAAAAAAUAUUAACGCCCCCUAGCUUGUCUAUAUAAUGAUUCAGCAGCUGCUCGCCAACAGAAUCUAAAGCAACGAUUAUAGCUACAAACCCGCCGGCCGCCACGUGCAAAAUCCAAAUGGCUCCUUCCGUCCCUUUCUGGCCACUUCCACUUCUUCUCUUCGUCCCAUUACUUUUUAUCUGGAAAAGAAAACUUCACGAUAAGAGACGACGGAGCAAGAACCUGCCACCAGGCCCUCCAAGACUUCCAUUCAUAGGUAACUUGCAUCAACUCGGAGCAAUUCCUCAUUACUCUCUAUGGCAACUCUCCAAGAAAUAUGGUCCCGUGAUGUUUCUCAAGCUUGGUCGUGUCCCAUCAGUUGUCAUCUCCUCUGCAGAAGCAGCCAAGGAAGUUUUGAAAACCCAUGAUCUUUACACUUGCAGUAGACCUUUCUCGGCUAGUACCCAGAAGCUGUCCUAUAACUAUCUUGAUGUAGGCUUCAGUCCCUAUGGAGAUUACUGGAGGAAGAUGAGAAAGAUUUGUGUUCUUGAGCUCUUCAGUGCGAAGAGAGUGCAGUCUUUUCAAUUUGUGAGAGAAGAAGAGGUUGCUUCACUCAUUGACUCCAUCACCAAAUCUGCUUCCACUGCAACUCCUGUUAAUCUCAGUGAGAAGUGUAUGGCUCUGACUGCAAAUAUAACUUGCAGAGCAGCUUUUGGGAGGAGUUUUCAAGAGAGAGGAUUUGCGCAUGAAAGAUUCCAUGAAGUGAUCCGUGAAGGUAUGGCGUUGCUUGGGUGUUUGUCUGCUGCUGAAUUCUUCCCUUAUGUGGGAUGGAUUGUUGACAAAAUCACAAAUCUCCAUGGAAGGCUUGAAAGAACCUUUCAAGAAUUGGAUGGUUUCUAUCGAAAGGUUAUAGAUGAUCAUGUUGAAAAGGGACGGGACGAGUCCGGACAGGAAGAUAUUGUUGAUGUUUUGCUAGAGUUAGAGAGAUCUCCACCCGAUUUUGGUAUUGCUGAUGCUGCCUUUCGAUUCUCCAGGGAUCACAUUAAAGCAAUUCUCAUGGUAAGUUUCCAAAAUUUCAAAGAAUUUUCUAAAAAUUCAAUUAAUGAAUUAAUGUUUUUAUUUUGAAUAUGAAAAUUUAACUCUUUUUUCAUUAAAAAUUUUCAUUGUAAAACCAAAGGAAAGGAAAAUGAUUAUUGAAAUAUUAUUUGAUUUUAUAUAUACAUAUUUAUAAUUUGCUUUUCAGUAUUACUGUAUUAAUUAAAAUGCGUUUGAUGAACUAUUUUACUGACUUUUACAUAAGCUUUUCAAUGCACCAUGUGACAUGUAGGCUGUGGUUUAAGCAUAUAAAAAAACAUGGCGCAUGAAAGGAAAAUUUCAAAUGUUUAUUCCUUUUAGAAAUUUUUUAAUCACUUAUGUAGGGUGUAUUUCAAAUCAAACAAAACAACUGUAUUAUGUAGACCCAUUAAGAUUUCUAAAAUUUUAUUAUUUAGUAUUAUUAUAAAAAAACUUAUUAAUUAGUUGAUUAAAUUUAAAAAAUAUAUAAAAUAUUAUUUAAGUAUUUUAAUAUUUAAUCCAUGAGAUGUAAAAAAAAAUUAUUAGUUAACUCAUUAAUUUUGUAAAAAUAUAUAUUAAUUAGUCACCCUUUAUUAAAAAUAUGUUAAACUAUUUUAUACUAUAAUAUUUAAUCGUUAGACUAAUUAUUAGAUUUUAAAAAAUUUUUAAAAUAUUUUAAUAUAAUUUUUAAAUCGGUGAAUUUCUCUAUAAUAAAAACACUAAAUAGUAAUUAUUUUUUAAGAUUUUGCCUACUAAAUAUAUGAUUUAUAUAUCAGCCAAGUACAAUACUACUUAAAACGUAAAAUUUUUUCACCCUCCGUUUAGAAUAAAGAUUUCAUAAAAAUUAAAUUCAAUUGAUUUUUUUUAAUAAUUAUUUUAUUUGGAAUGAAAGAAUUAAAAUUUUUUAUUUACUCUCUUAAUUUUUGAAAAAUAUAUUAAAACAUUCUUAAUAUUUUAAAAAAUUUAUUAAUUAGUUCUUUUAUUAAUUUUAAUUAUUAAAUAUUCUAAUAAAAGUCUAAAAUAUCCUCGAUAAAAAGUGAUUAAUUAGUAAAUUUUCUACCAAUCAACUUUUUUCUAAACUACAAAAAUUAAAUAAUAAAAAACUGAAUGAUUAAAAUUAAUGAAAAAUUUAAUUAGUAGAGUUUUUAAAAUAUCAAUGGUAUUUUUAAUGUAUUUUUUAAAAAAAAUAUUAAUUAAUGAGUUUUUUCAUAAUAAAAAAUAAAUAAUAAUUUUUAUAUUUGAAUGGUAAAUAUUUAUCGUACUAACCGUCGUGUAUGCAUCUACAUACUAAAAUUAUAAUAAAUUUCAUUUAUAAAAAUACAAUUUUUGAUUGGUUAGUGUAUUUAUUCAUGUCACAUGUAUAAAAAUUUUCCCAAUUAGAAUUUUUUGUAUGCAUUUCGUUUUCCACUCUAGAAUGAUUCUAUAUCUUUAACCUUGAUUUAACUGAUCUUGCUACAAAAAUUUGUAUGUAAUAUAUCAGAACAUAUUUCUGGGUGGAGUUGACACUGGAGCAAUAACUUUGAUUUGGGCAAUGACAGAGCUCAUUAGACAUCCAACGGUCAUGAGAAAAGCACAAGAAGAAAUAAGAACUUGCAUGGGAGAUAAAACAAAAGUCACUGAAAGUGACAUUGACAAGCUUGGGUACCUAAAGAUGGUAUUGAAGGAAACCUUGAGGCUGCAUCCACUGGGACAAUUAGUAAGAGAAACCAUGUCCAAAUUCAGCAUCAAUGGCUAUGUGAUUGAACCCAAAACCCUAAUCCAAGUGAAUGUGUUUGCAAUUGGAAGGGAUCCAAAGGUGUGGAGGAAUCCAGAAGAGUUCAUUCCAGAGAGGUUCAUAGACAAUCAAUAUGAUUUUAAUGGGCAGAGUUAUGAGUUUUUACCAUUUGGUGCUGGGAGGAGAAGCUGUCCAGGGAUGGCUAUGGGACUGGCUCUGGUGGAGCUUGCACUUGCAAACCUUUUGUUUUGUUUUGAUUGGAAGCUGCCUUGUAAUAUGAAGAAGGAAGAUGUUAACAUGGAUGAGGCUCCUGGUAUUGUCACCGGCAAGAAAGAAGCUUUAUUGCUUUUACCAGUUAAAUAUCCACAUGCAUGUAUGUAAAAUUAGUAUUGCAAUACUGUCUUCAUGGACCAAAGCUUAAAUACAGGGAAAUAAAUUACAAAUAAAUUACUUCUUUUAUGUUGGCUUCAUUAUAAUUUGGGUAAUUAUCGUAUUGAGGUUUAAUAAAAUUCAAAAUUUAUGCACAAAUUUUAUUCUGUUAUUAGUAAUAAAUAAUUUAGUCUUUAAAAUCUAUUUUAUUAAUGAAAUAAUUUUUUUGUUAAAAUUUAUUGUUAUAUUAUAAUAGUAUAAUUUUUUGAAUUUAUUUUUUAUAAUAAUUUAAUUCUUUUAAUUUUAAUAAUUAAUUUAUGAUAAUUUAAUUUUUAUAAUUUUAAUAUUUAUAAAAAUUUUAUUCUUUAAUUUGAAUUGAUUUUAGGUAAAUUUAAUAAAAUAAUUAUUUUAUUAAUAAAAUUAAAAUUUAUAAAAUUAUAAAUUUUAGUAAAUAUUAGAAUCUAUAUUAUAAAUUAUCAUAUGAUUUUGUGCCUUUGAGUCUGUACUGGUAGAGUGAUAGGCUUAGGCAAAGUUUUUUCACUUAAUUAUGAAGGACAAAGGUGCAAAAUGCACUUGAGUGUUAUUAUAAUGUUAUAAUUAAAAAAAAUUAUUUCCCUUAAUUAUUAAUCUAUUAUUAUGAAGGGCAAAGGAUUAAAAAUUAUUUUCUUCCAUGUUUUUGAAAAUAUUUCUCUAUUUUUGCAUGAUUUGAAAAAAUGCUCUAGACAAUGAAUCAAAAUGUACGUGAGUGUUUUUUAAUAUUACUAUUAAAAAAAACUUAAAAGUUUUUCCUCAAUUAUUAUGGUGGACAAUGGAUGAAAAUGUCCAUAAUUAUUUUUUUCUAUUCAAAUAUUUAUGAUAAUUUAUGAUGUGGCCGGAAAACAGAGUUGUUUUGAGAUUGAUUAGACCUGCAAAGAGGAGAAUGUGAGGUGGUGGUGGAUACCUACAGCAGCCAUUCCGUUGCUCAAGUUAGUAUACUAGAAAAGAGAGUAAAUACAAUGAACUGUUUAGAAUUUUAGUGUAAGAGAAUGACAUACAUUGACCUCUGUGAUCCUUUCCUUUUCAUACUGUAAAAAGAUGGAGAUAAAUAUAGUAUUUUUUGAUAAUCCAAGCAAAGAUGUGUCCGACUACUUUAUAAGGGAUAUUAACAGCUAAUAGGUUGGUGAUUUCGUGAUUACAGACAUAAUGGGGAUAAGCAUGACUAUGCCUGACAAUGGUAAUCUUGUAUCAAGACCCGUUCUACCAAGGGGAGGGCGAGUUUUGAUGGUGAAUCGAGUGUUAAAGUGUUCAGGUCUUCUUUUCCUCGAAUAGGACCGCAUUACUUACUUAUUAGACCUGUUCUAUAGUGACAGCUCAUGGCUUAUUUUGGACGAUUGUAAUAUAGCAUUAGAGGUCUCCCCAAUCUUCGAUUCUUCAGGUUCGAAAGUAACAGUUUGUCUUUUUUAUUACGUGGCAUGAUUUUGUUGGCCUUGAUUGUUUUCGUCAUUUUUUCUACCUUUGGUAACGAUGGUUGCCUUAUUUCUCGAGUCAUAUUUAAAACUUUGCUGGCUAAGCUAUUGUAUAAGAAUCCUCCUUUCUCUUCUUUUGUUUACGACUGUUAUCUAUGGAAAACAUAAAUGAGAUUACUUUCUUUUCUUUCCCUGAGAAUAACCAGAUCUGUUGAGAGGAUAUUAUCAUGGUCUAUGAAGAGCAGCUGAAGGCAGGUCUUCAUGAAGGUGCAAGCAUACUGUUUAUGCUUGAGUAUUGCAACCAGUCUGACUAUAAUAGCUUUUUAGCACCAUGACCCCAGGGAGAGGGUUGGAUUGUGCAAGAUUGAUUCUGAGGAUCAGGCCAAGAAGCAAUUGGGGAAGCAGUCUUUCAUGCGAUUUUUCUUGAACAGAUGACAUAUU
rnacentral:lncRNA from 1 species